AUGGUGCGUAUCUUCUAUGUCAAAACAACUCUCGGCAACGGAUAUCUCGGCUCUCGCAUCGAUGAAGAACGUAGCGAAAUGCGAUACUUGGUGUGAAUUGCAGAAUCCCGUGAACCAUCAAAUCUUUGAACGCAAGUUGCGCCCGAAGCCUUCGGGCCGAGGGCACGCCUGCCUGGGCG
rnacentral:rRNA from 1 species